rnacentral:rRNA from 1 species
AGUAACGCGUGGGUAACCUGCCUCAUACAGGGGGAUAACAGUUAGAAAUGACUGCUAAUACCGCAUAAGCGCACAGGGUCGCAUGACCUGGUGUGAAAAACUCCGGUGGUAUGAGAUGGACCCGCGUCUGAUUAGCUAGUUGGCGAGGUAGCGGCCCACCAAGGCGACGAUCAGUAGCCGACCUGAGAGGGUGAUCGGCCACAUUGGGACUGAGACACGGCCCAA